ACAAGGGCGGAGGCGCGGAGCCUGCGCGGCUCGAGGCUAGGGAUGGGCGGGACAUGUUAAUUCCCCAGAUGUCGGAACCAGCCCGACCGGUCCCAGAGCUGGGUUGCGGGGAGAAGGGGAGAGACCUGUGCGUUCGUUUCAGAUUCUCUGUGGCCAAUGCGCGUUCCCAGGCCCCCGAUCCCCGAGGGAGUGGUAAGGAAUUUCGAACUGGAAGCAUAAAUGAUGCAUUCUGGGCGUGGUUUGCAUGAGAAGGAAGAUGAGGACCUUCAAGCAUAAGACAUCACUCAGAUUCCUGGCCUCAUCUCAAAACAGAAUCCUGAAGGUCAAUGAUGACUUCGGUAAAGAAGCUCUGGAGAAUUCUUGGAAGUUAACCACUCAGCAGGGGAAGGAGGGAUGCUCCAGGCAGAAGACUAUCCAUGUCUUAAUGCGUGGUGGCAGGAGAGGGUAUACUCAGCUGAGCGACUGAAGGAGGUCACUGUGGCAAAGCAGAGGGUGCCCAGGCAUCGUGGAAUGCGAUGGGGCUGAGGACAGUGUUGGAACUGGAUCAGGAAGGGCCUCAUAGGCACGGUGGAGGGCUUUGCCUCCAUCCGGAGAUAGAUUGUCAACAGAGUUUUUCAGGUGUGUGUGUGUUUCUCUGCAUGUGUGUGUGUGUGUGUGAACAUGAAGGUUGUGUGUGUGCUGGUGGUGAGGGUGUCAUGCUAUUUGAGUGGCCUGGCACGAUCAGGUUUGCUUUUAUACUCUACACUUUAUUUCAUCAUUUCUUAAUUUUACCAACAGACUACAGUCCUUUAUAACAGUUUCUUCACACGGCAAGAGUAGUUGGAGUUGAAUAUAAAGUGCUUUUACAUUUAGAUUGAGGAAAAGACAAAUGUGGCAUCAUAAAUAAAGAAAAUAUUAAAGCAGUAAAUACAAAACCACAAUCACAAGUAUUGCAUGU